UAAUAAGUGUUUUAUGGCACUUUUUAAAUCCAUAUCCACCUUGUGUGCAAUGUCAGUCGAUCUUCUUCAUGGAGAUCGACCAAACAUCAACCUUAUCUUUUAACUCUUUGUCUGAAAAAUAUAUGAAUAAACAAUUCAAAAUA
rnacentral:misc_RNA from 1 species